GAUCCUGGCUCGGGAUGAACGCUGGCGGCGUGCUUAACACAUGCAAGUCGAGCGAAGCACCUUGACGGAUUUCUUUCGGAAUGAAGUUUUGGUUGACUGAGCGGCGGACGGGUGAGUAACGCGUGGGUAACCUGCCUCAUACAGGGGGAUAACAGUUGGAAACGGCUGCUAAUACCGCAUAAGCGCACAGUACCGCAUGGUACGGUGUGAAAAACUCCGGUGGUAUGAGAUGGACCCGCGUCUGAUUAGG
rnacentral:rRNA from 1 species